rnacentral:rRNA from 1 species
UUUGAUCCUGGCUCAGGACGAACGCUGGCGGCGUGCCUAAUACAUGCAAGUCGAGCGAACAGAGAAGGAGCUUGCUCCUUUGACGUUAGCGGCGGACGGGUGAGUAACACGUGGGCAACCUACCUUAUAGUUUGGGAUAACUCCGGGAAACCGGGGCUAAUACCGAAUAAUCUAUUUCACCUCAUGGUGAAAUACUGAAAGACGGUUUCGGCUGUCGCUAUAGGAUGGGCCCGCGGCGCAUUAGCUAGUUGGUGAGGUAACGGCUCACCAAGGCGACGAUGCGUAGCCGACCUGAGAGGGUGAUCGGCCACACUGGGACUGAGACACGGCCCAGACUCCUACGGGAGGCAGCAGUAGGGAAUCUUCCACAAUGGGCGAAAGCCUGAUGGAGCAACGCCGCGUGAGUGAAGAAGGUUUUCGGAUCGUAAAACUCUGUUGUAAGGGAAGAACAAGUACAGUAGUAACUGGCUGUACCUUGACGGUACCUUAUUAGAAAGCCACGGCUAACUACGUGCCAGCAGCCGCGGUAAUACGUAGGUGGCAAGCGUUGUCCGGAAUUAUUGGGCGUAAAGCGCGCGCAGGCGGUCCUUUAAGUCUGAUGUGAAAGCCCACGGCUCAACCGUGGAGGGUCAUUGGAAACUGGGGGACUUGAGUGCAGAAGAGGAAAGUGGAAUUCCAAGUGUAGCGGUGAAAUGCGUAGAGAUUUGGAGGAACACCAGUGGCGAAGGCGACUUUCUGGUCUGUAACNGACG